AAACUCCUUAUAUUGCUGCAAUGAUGUUUUGUGCAAUAAACUUUCGAUAUAGGUAUUUUAAAAGGCUAGGAGAGAAGUGGGCGGAGCCAGAGAGAUGUCCCAAAGAAGUCCGCUGGGCUUGCUUUCCUGGGCAACUGCCAUGCACUUUAGAUGACUGAGAAAAGUCCAAGGAGAUCCAGGAGAAAGGUCACCGGCACGAAAGGCUUCACUCUUGUACCAACAUACGGCCCAGAGGGGAAAACUCUCCAGGGUGAGUCUCACGUAGCUCAAGAGGCCUUGAACUCGUAUAUCUAAGAAUGAGUUAGAAAUCCAGAUCGCCCUGCCUCUGCCUCCUGGGAUUAUAGAUGCCAGUUCCAGAGAUUACAGAAUGUAUGCUGUUUCCUUCACUGAUGUAUAGAGUCUAGAAUGGAACCCGGCCUUUACAAAGCAGUCAAACAAUUGUGUUACCAAAU